CCUACGGGCGGCAGCAGUGGGGGAUAUUGCACAAUGGGGGAAACCCUGAUGCAGCGACGCCGCGUGUGGGAAGACGGUCCUCUGGAUUGUAAACCACUGUCCCCAGGGACGAAGAUGACGGUACCUGGGGAGGAAGCUCCGGCUAACUUGGUGCCAGCAGCCGCGGUAAUACGUAGGGAGCAAGCGUUGUCGGAAAUUACUGGGUGUAAUGGGAGCGUAGGCGGGAUGGCAAGUUGGGUGUUAAAUCUACCGGUUAAACUGGUAGUCGCACUCAAAACUGCUAUUCUUGAGUGAAGUAGAGGCAGGCGGAAUUCCUGGUGUAGCGGUGAAAUGCGUAGAUAUUAGGAGGAACACCAGUGGCGAAGGCGGCCUGCUGGGCUUUUACUGACGCUGAGGCUCGAAAGUGUGGGGAGCAAACAGGAUUAGAUACCCGGGUAGUC
rnacentral:rRNA from 1 species